CAUUAUGGGACAUUAAACGUGUAGAGGCAGAGGUGAGAAAAUGUAGCGUUAUUUGUGGCGUAAAUGCUCGCGCAUCUACGCAAUUUCCUUGUGUGGGAGAGAGACAAACAGACCUUCUGUUCUCUAAUAGACAGCUCACGUCACACCAACCAGAUGUCUGAUAUUCCGUGCAGGAAAGGUUAGAGCAGGUAGUUUGAAGUUUUUUGUGUAGGCUCUAUCUACCGGGACAGCUCACCGGCGCCGCAGACAACAUUUAAUUCCAGCCAUCGUGUAAAGGUCAUCAGCGAUCAUCUCCUAUGUUUGAAACAAUUGUAGUGAACAUGACGAGUUUGAAGGCGUUCACCGAGCCGUUUGGGAGAGUGGCUUCUGAACCGGUGGAGGACACUGACCCCAGCAGCUUCAUUACAGAUAUGUCUCUGAGGUCACAUUACCCCAUUCAGGACACUGAUCCACAAGCUAUCAGAGAUCCUGUAACCCUACAGCUCAGCUCUGGUCCCCCUGGAUAUUUGUCAUCAGCGGUGGACAGGAUACGACAAGUGAGUCUUUCAAUUACCAUCUUCCACUGGAAAGGAGUUGGGUCUGAUCACUUUCUAUCAUUAUUUGCCGGAGUCACGUACACAUUUCCAACAACAUCCUUAUUUAUAGAUUCAGACCACUCACUGUGUGGUAUACUGAUUCUUAAAGGGAUAGUUCACACAAAAAUGAAAAUUAUGUCAUUAAUGACUCACCCUCAUGUCGUUCCAAACCCGUAAGACCUCCGUUCAUCUUCGGAACACAGUCUAAGAUAUUUUAGAUUUAGUCCGAGAGCUUUCUGUUCCUCCAUUGAAAAUGUAUGUACGGUAUACUGUCCAUGUCCAGAAAGGUAAUAAAAACAUCUUCAAAGUAGUCCA
ensembl:lncRNA